AGGAUAUAAGGGAGUUUCACCUAAUCGUUAUGAACUUAUAUUCACAAGUAGUAAAGGUUGUUCGUCACAACCAUGUUAAGUAAAUUCUUGGCAUAAGUUUCAUGCAAUUCAUAGUUACAAGUGCUUCGUCAAUGCUUAUGAUUUUCAUAGAACUUAAUGAUUCUUGCUUGUAUCUCUAUUAUGCAAUUCAUGUAGGGAACUUGUGGGGAAUGCUUUGGGUUAUUGUAUGGAAUCAUCCAAUUCAAUGAAAUUAGGAAAAUCUGAGGAUUAAUUUAAGCGUACUGAAUUAAUCUGGGGUGUUGAGGUUCACGGUUUAUUGAAAAGCAACUGGAAAUCGUUUUAUAUGCAAGUGUGUCAUGUGUGGAGAAAGACCUUCUAGCUUGCCCAUCAUCCAUUCAAAUCACCAAAUUUGUCCAAAAUUUGUUUUAAGUCUUUAGUUACUUGUUUUUACUUAAAUUCAUCCAAAACCGAAUCCCCCUUUACUUUAGAGUGUCUAAUUAGUCAGAAUCUGUCCUAGUUGUGUUUUUAAGUGUUUUAAGUUAAGAUAAAAUCAAUUUUCGUCCAAACUUUGUGUUAGUGGCAGAAACUGCCUUAGAGUUGUUUUUAGGUAGUUUUGAGUCUCUGUAAUCUGUUUUGAGUCUUGUAAGUUUAAUUUCAUACUUUUAAGUUUGUUUUCACAUAUUUAAGUCAGUUUCAAGUGUUUUAGCAAUCCCUCAUAAUCCCCGGCCUAGAACGAUCCCUACUUACAUUCUUUACUACAAUUGACAACAAGAGGGUUUAAUUUGUGUGUUAAGUUAUUUUCACAUCAGUGAUCAAGAGUAUGGGUUUAGAGAAUGACCAUAUUGUAAUGUAAUCCCAAACUGAAUAGGUCAUCCACCUCUUUUGUUUAGCUUGGGUAGCCAUGAGGUGUCACCUAAUGGAUCAUACACCGUGUAAAGUGGAUAUUGAAGAAAAAACAUAGUUAAGUAAGGACAAUUAAAUGGUUUGAUUGUUUAUAGCUAGGAUUAAUUAAUAUGUUAAUUAAUCAAACAAAUUAGUUCGUUUUAUACUUCGGGUUAGUUUUAGGCCUCAAGACCCAAUGGGCUCCAAAUAGUCAAGCCCAAUAACUUAAGUUGGAUGACAACUUUAAAACACGAAGCGCAUGAAAGCCCAAUGAACCCACAUGGCCGGCUAUAGAGAGUGAGGGAGAGUUGGUUUUUAAUUUCAAUUGUGCCACUCAAUGUAAGUGGCUAUAUAAGGGAAAUUAUAACCCAUUCCCUCAUUAGGGUUUUCUUAGAGGAAAGAGAACUCCAUCUUUCUCUUUUUUCUCUCUAGGAGACCGAUCCUCUUGGAGGGGAUUUAGUAGUAUCAAUCAUCCUCAAAGGUCACUCAUCUCUUCUUCAUUCACCUCAUUGGUGUGGAAACAUAGAGGUUCCCUUUCUUGGGAACUUGGAGAAUCCAUUAUUCCAUCUUCCACCAAGAAAUCCAUGGAGCAAAGAAGCUAGAAAUCCAUUAGCCUUUACUUAUGCAAAGAUGAUUCAAAAUAGGAUUAAGAAACCUCAACUUCUCUCUUUAAGAUUUGAGUUGAGUCUUGGUUCACAGUUGCUAGGCUUUGAAUUUAAUGUGAAAAGUUUAGAUUUUAGUACCUACAAGCAUGAUUCCACCUUUAUUUAUUAAUUGCAUGUUUAGAUGUUGCUCAAAUGAACUUAGUAAAAUCAAAAUUUUCCUUGAAGUGGUGGUAUCAAGAGCCUAGGUCUAGUAGUUGGUGAACCCUUUUGGGUUUUGUUGCAUAUUUUUUUAUUUGAAUGUUGUAUUGGUUACAAGCAUGUUUUUGCGUCUUUGAAUGUAAAUUUUGUUUGCAAAUUUGCCAUCUCAAAAGUUGUAGAUGUAGUUCAUUUAAGCAUGAAUUUUGAAGCUAAAAUUGGUGCCAUGUUUAUGGGGAAAUUCGGCCAAAUCCAUGGAGUGGAUUUUUGGGUUCAUGUUUGUCUUACUAAAAGAGUUUUAAAGUGACAUUAGGAACUCCUAAGUACCCUAUCAUUUAACCCUCUUUUGAGUAGUAUAAUUUUGAGUUUUAUUGAGUGAAAACAUUCAUGGAGCUCUUAUAGGUUUUCGUGGAUGUUCUUCAAUGUUCUUACUUUGUUCUUGAUGUUCAUAUCGAGAGCAAAAAGUUUGUUGUUUUGAUCCAAAAGUAUUUGGUUGUUUAUUUAAAUUUUUUGUUAGUCAUGGUUGCUGUACAUGAUUGGUACUUUCCUAUCAAACCCAUUCCAAUCAAUUUUACUAUUCACACCAUACCAAUCAAUCCUGAUCCAUCAUAACUCGCACCUGUUGCUGCUCGACCAUCGCAAACUUGAGCCUACCUGACAACCCACUACAGCUUGCCAAAACCACCAAAGUUGCACAUUCGUAGCACCCAGAUCGCAAAGAAAUUGUAGAAGAAAGGAAAAUGGACAAGGGAGAGGAAGCAAUUAUCCCCAUAUUUUUCUAUUUUUUAAUUUUUAUUAAUUAUUAAUUUUUUAAUUUGUUAUUUAAUUUUAAUUUUUAAAUUUCCACGUGGCGCCCAAUCAUUGUUCACAUGAGCACCACGUCACUAGUUAACGGCUGACUUAACAGCCAGCUUAACGGAUGUAUGAGACUAUCCCAAAAUUAAGACUUGAGGUAUGACUCUGGGAUGAAACAAACUUCAUGUACACAAUGUUGACAACCACAAAACUUUAAGGUAGUAAUAUGAGAUUAACCCUAUUAUUAAUGCUAGCCAAUAAUCAGAUAUGACGAGGUGGGCAUGGUGGGUUCUAUUUGAUUUAAAGACCUGAAUUCCUGUUGAAGGAUACAUAAUUUGACAAAAUAGUGGGUGGUGUUAUUUGAUAGAAAGACUCGAAUCAAAUGGUUUGAAAUCAAUCAAUUUAUAUUUGUUAUGUAUUUAUUUACCGAUAUAUUUGUAACCGCUAUCCAUACUUAACAAAGAAAAACCAAAAGCUUUAGUUUCCAUACUUGGUACCACAAUCCCAUAAAUUGUCUUGAAUUGAUUUUAUAUCUCUACAAGGGGAAUCAAACUGCAUAGAUUUGAAAUGGUGCUUACCUAAUUGAUUUGCAGGCUUGUGCGAGGGGGGUGAGGUGUUGGAAAUGUGCCCUAAAACCAAUCAUAUGAUGAUACUUUACGGACAUUUCACAUGUUAAACUAAUCUAGUUUAAUAUCAAGGGCAAAGAUUAUUGUUAGAGCCGUCUCAUAUAAAUGUUAUACGCUUAAACGAUAAGUCCAAGGAGUAUGUGAUUGGGAGAAUGC
rnacentral:lncRNA from 1 species